rnacentral:lncRNA from 1 species
CUGAGAUCCAGUGCCUUAGACCGCUGCCCCACUCGGGAGCCAUUUAAAAUGUUAUGUCUACCCCUGAGUCCAGGUUGCAGCGUCAGUUCAAGGUAAUGUGGGGGUUUAUGUCAGGCAUUCUGCUGCUCAGUCUAUCAGUCAGCAGCAUCUCUACAGGAUGGAGCAGCACACCUCUCUCUACAUGCUACUCUAUUUGCUGAAUACUGUGAUAUACUCUGGACAUGCUCAAAUUAAUGCCUCUCUGAGCAUCAGUCCUGACAGAUCUCAGUUCUUUGAAUAUGAGUCUGUCUCUCUGAGCUGUGAUGUUCAGAGCUCUACUGGAUGGAGAGUGGUGAGGAACACGCUGAAAGGAGGGACUGAAGAGUGUCCCACUGACUGGGGAUUUUUUAAAGGGUCUUCAUGCACCAUAUCUGCAGUACCAUCAGACAGUGGAGUGUACUGGUGUGAGUCUGGGUCUGGAGAACACAGCAAUGCUGUUAACAUCACAGUACAUGAUGGGGCUGUGAUCCUGGAGAGCCCUGCCAUUCCUGUGACUGAGGGAUAUUUUGUGACUCUGCGCUGCGUAUAUGAAGACAAGAAAACGAAGAAAACAUUCUCAAACUUCAGAGCUGAUUUCCAUAAUGAUGGAUCCCUCAUCAUGACCAACACUACAGGGGAGAUGACCAUCCCUGCAGUAUCCAAAUCAGAUGAAGGGCUCUACAAGUGUAACAACACUAAAGGAGAAUCACCAGAGAGCUGGAUGACUGUGACAGUUCCAUCUUCAGCUCCAGGGCCAGCCCCAUCUCCAGCAGUCCCAGUGUGGUCCAUCUCUCUGCCCAGGCUGCUGUGUAGUCUACUAGUAGUGUCUCCUUACCUGCUGGUGACCAUCAUACUGGUGGUGAAAUGCAACAGCCGCAGGAGCAUGGCUCGAGCUCAAUCUGAUGAAGAGAAGAAAAGAUGUACUGUCAUCACAUAAUCAGGAUGGAAUGUUACGCAACAACACACUUUAUGGGAACCAUGUUGAUAUGGUAACAUCGGUGGACAUUGUUAAAGAGAAGAGUAACCAUGUUAUUGUUGUUGUGUUGGAGUAAACACACUACUGUAGGCCCAUGUCUGUGUCAUGCUCCAUGUAGCAUUGUAAGGUUGUGUUGUGUUACAGGUCGGAGAGAGAGAGAGAGAGAGAGAGAGAGAGAGAGAGAGAGAGAGAGAGAGACAGACAGACAGACAGACAGACAGACAGACAGACAGACAGACAGACAGACAGACAGACAGACAGACAGACAGACAGACAGACAGACAGACAGACAGACAGACAGACAGACAGACAGACAGACAGACAGACAGAAGCCUGACUGAAGGAUGGGGGAGAGAAGAAGACCCCCCACACACACACAUAAACACACACAUACACUGUUACCAUGCACUUGUUUAUCAGAAUAGAGGAUGUGCUGCUGUGUGGCUGGUUGCAUAUGAGCAUAUGCUGUGGUUAACCACUUUCUCUGUCCUUUUGUCUUCUGCUGCCCCCUUCCCUCCCUGCUCUACAUGCUUCACUGCCAAAGCUGUAGCGGGCUAAAAAGCUACUGCUGUGCGAAGUUUCUGGAUAUUGGCAGGAACUGGAACACGCUGUCGUACACGUCGAUCAAGAGCAUCCCACACAUACUCAUUGGGUGACAUGUCUGGUGAGUAUGUAGGCCAUGGAAGAACUGGC